AUUGAACGCUGGCGGCAGGCUUAACACAUGCAAGUCGAGCGGAGAUGAGGUGCUUGCACCUUAUCUUAGCGGCGGACGGGUGAGUAAUGCUUAGGAAUCUGCCUAUUAGUGGGGGACAACAUUCCGAAAGGAAUGCUAAUACCGCAUACGUCCUACGGGAGAAAGCAGGGGAUCUUCGGACCUUGCGCUAAUAGAUGAGCCUAAGUCGGAUUAGCUAGUUGGUGGGGUAAAGGCCUACCAAGGCGACGAUCUGUAGCGGGUCUGAGAGGAUGAACAGCCACACUGGGACUGAGACACGGCCCAGACUCCUACGGGAGGCAGCAGUGGGGAAUAUUGGACAAUGGGGGAAACCCUGAUCCAGCCAUGCCGCGUGUGUGAAGAAGGCCUUAUGGUUGUAAAGCACUUUAAGCGAGGAGGAGGCUACUGAGACUAAUACUCUUGGAUAGUGGACGUUACUCGCAGAAUAAGCACCGGCUAACUCUGUGCCAGCCGCCGCAGUAA
rnacentral:rRNA from 1 species